CGAGCGCCUGUCGCGGAGGCGCAUGCGCGGCGAGCAGCUGCUCCGUCGGCGGAGGAGACGCCGGACGCCGCGGGGGAGGCAACGUCGGGGUUCUGAUGCGGCCGCUCACAGGCCGGGUGAACCUGGACGCUCAGCGUCUCCGAGCCGCGGUUCCCUCCUCCGUGCCCCGGGGCUUCCUCGAGGGUUAAGCAGACAGGAAAGCAGCCUGAGGACCGAAUUCAAGUGACUCCAACCCUUUGUGCUCUUGCAAGAACAGAAGCAGGCCCCCUUGCUGUCACGGUUUCUCAGACUGGGCCUGGUUUUGGUGAGACCUUGACGUUUUGAGGAGUUCCGGCUGUGUGCUUUCUAGGACGCUCUCUCCUGGGAUCUCUCUGCUGUGUUCCUGGUGAGUGGACAGGGGCUCUGGGUUCUGAGAGGAGAAAGGGGCCGAGCGCCAUGGCCAUCCUCUCCCGUCACCAUUGACGGUGUGUGCUCUGGCCGUGACCUGCGACGGCUGGUGUCGCCUGGGAGGCAGGGCCCUGCCUUCUCCGUGGCAGAGUCGCUCUUUUCUGCCCCUCUUUCCAUUCCGUGCUCCCCUGAAGGAGCCACUGUGCGCGGCCCACACUCAUGGGGAGGGGGCCUCACACCACCUCCUUGGGUGCAGAAUCCACAAGAAUCAUCUGGAAUUCUUCCAUGGGGGAGAUUUGUCUCCUCCCUCUCAUUUAUUAACUUAGUCCUUUGUACUAGUCUGGACUCACGGAUAUUCAUUUUAUGCUCUGGGCUAUAAUUGUAUUUGUUUUGUUGCUCAAAUUGUCCCAGUUUUGGCAGUAGGGGGCUCUUCCCAUUGGUUUUGUGGCCCUUUGACACACCCCAUCUGUGUGUGUGUGCAUGUAUGUGCACGUGCGUGCAUGUGUCUGCGAGUGCGUGUCUGUGUGUGCAUGCAUGUGUGACACACAUGUGCGUUUAAUCACUUUCCCACUUUGUGGCGCUACGAGGCGCUCUCUUCUCUUCAUCCCCGCUCUUGGCUCUUGGCUCUUCUUGGUCUUCUUCUCAACUCUUUGUUUUCACGAAGUGAAGUAAACGCCUUGACUGCCGAGGCCGAGUGUGCAGCCCCUUCCUGGUGACCCAGAGGCGCCAUGUUCUCUCGGCUGCACAGGCAGGUGUCAUCCGGCCACCGCAGGCGCCUUCAAGUAGACAUCAUCGUUCUUGUUCUAGAGGGACUCCGGGAUGGUGAGGAAUUGGGUCAGAACCACGCGGAGGAGCAGGACCCGAACCCAGGCGCUCCCUGCGCGAUGUGGUCACCUCGCCUUCCAGGAUAAGCUUCCGGAGCCUCUGCUUGGAGCAAGGGCUGUGGCAGCACCUCUCUGAGGAGGGGACAGGCCUCCACGUCCCCACACGUCCCCGUCUGAAGCCCCCGUGUGGCUCCCUGGCGCUGCCUCUUCCCGGCGCCGUCCACCCUGCAGCUCUGCUUGGGCUUUGGGAGGCACCUGCCCCACACGGUGGGAACGGCGCUGUGCGCGGGUUCCGCCACCACGAGCCGAGCCCCAUGAGCCUCUGAGAUCCGCUCCCGGUGCUGAACGUCGUCUGCCGCGAGGGGGGAGAGUGGCUGGCGUUGGGUCAAGUCCACCCACCGCGGACGGCUUUGGUGGAUUUUCAGUGGCAUUCAACAAAUGAGGGGAAAAAUAACAUAAACCUAAACCACUGUUUUUAUGAGAGGGUAUGUAUAUUUAUACAUCAGUCUCGUGUUUAAAUGUUCCAUUUGGGGCUACGGUUUUUUGAAAAAGUACUAUUUUUUCCCUUUUUAUAGAAACAAAAUUCACUUUGAAUUGUGGCAUUUUUUUUUUUUUUUUGGAAAAGAAAAGGCUGCAUUUGAACUUUAGAACUAAAAGAGUGUCUGGUCCACAGCAACCCUAUGAACAAGAUUUCAGGAAAUCAUAUGGGGCCCUACCAGAAAUGGAACAGAGGGGCUGUCGGCUGUGUCGCUCAUGGUUAGAGCCGUCGUCACCGGGGCCUGUGGUCCCGACCACAAGCAUGUGACCAGGGGCCCCGAUGGAGCGGCUGGGCUGAGUCAGACCUUCUGCUUGCCUUGGCGCCGGCCCUGCCGAAGGCAGAGCGCAGAGAGGCCCCCUCCCCCUCUCGCUGGGCCCCUCCUGCCUUAGACUGGGCCGUGGUGGCUGCCAAAGGCCGCCCCAUCCUGGGCCCAGCGCCACAGUCCGACUCCUGGAGAGAGAGGACAGUGUGGAGAGGGAGGUGGAAGAGCAGGCUGGGGGGGUGGGGGCAAGUCACUGAGCCCAACGGGUCCGAGAAGGGGCCUGGCUUGUCUGCCAGGAGGGUUGUGUGCUGCCGCGGGUGUGGGUCAGGCCCACUGGGAGGGCAGGUUUUAAACUCUCCCUUAAACCCCAGGUGUGGGCCAGACCCUGGCUGGCGGUCAGUGUAGGGGGAGGAUGAACUCGGUUUGUUUGAUGCUGGGGAGCGGGGAAGGCAGCCGGGGAAACCCACGUGCCCCCUAACCGGCCCCCUCUGAUUCCAGGCGCACACUGUGCUCUCAGAUCAGCAGGAGCAGGGCCCGCUCUGGGUCCUAACUGAGCACCCAUCACGGUGAGCCCCGUGUGCUCGCACGGCUGGAACUCGUCACUCUGCCUCAGCAUCUUGGUCCACAGGAGACAAUAGGGGCCCAGAGCUUAGUGAGUGCAGAGUCGGGACUCGAGCCUCCGUCUGACCAGCUCCAGCAUCCGCGUUCUGACCAUGGGAUUAAACUCCCUCGGGUCUGACCCAGGAACCAGAGGACCUGGAACCCAAUUCCACGUUUGUCACUCACUGGCUGGGCCGCCUGAGGAAGCUGCUGUCCAUCCCUGACCUCUGAUGCACUGAGUCAGAUGGAGCUAAUUCUAGUGCUUGCCUGCCAGGGUUUUCUGAGGAAAUGUAUGUGAAAGUGACGUGCCCCCUGCAGAACUGAGGAGAGAACCUCCCGGAUGCCGCUCUCCUGUGCUCUCCUGCUUUUUGACCACUUCAUGCUCACGAGAGGAGCUUGUGCGUGUUCCCUGCAAGGACAGCCACACUUCGUCGUGGGACCUGCUGCAUGUCCCCAGCUCUGUGUUGACUCUGAGAUGUGCAGGCCCAGAGCCGAUGGAGCGAGGGCCCCACCACCUGACUGGUAAAGCCUCCCCCUAGAUGAGACUCUCCGGACUCAUCUUUCCCUGAACCGGACGUGAGGCUGGGACACGGCCACGCAGCCCCCAAACCCGCCGUCUCCUUGGUCACUCCUUACUUCCCUCCAGCCGCCCCUCACUCUCCAGGCUGUGGGCGUCCUCCUUUCGGCAGCCUGUGCGUCCACCCCGUCUCCAGUGCGGGCAGGUCUGAGCUCAGCCUCUCCCUCCUGCCGCUCCCCAGCCCGCUGCCUGAUGGCCAGGCACUGCCCCCAAGCUGUUCUUCACCAGCCACGCAGGUCUUCGGCCCCUUCUGGCUUAGAGUCCACCAGGGCUCAAGCGUCCCACUCCUUGCAGGGCCCCGUGAUCAGGGUGGCGACCUUUCCCGCCAGUCCUGUCCAGCUCCCCUCGCACCACUGCCCCACGGGCAGGCAAUGCACGCUGAGUGCCCUCUCUGCUCCCCGAUCCAUCCUUGGGAACCCAGUCUGGGCAACCUCUUCCAGGAAGCCUCUGAGUCCAUCAGUCGGUGGGGGAUUUCUCCGAGGACCCGCAGCGCCUGCCUGUGCCUUUCACUUCCCUCCUCGGAGUGCAGCCUCGGCGUGUCUGACGCGGGGUAGAAGGACCGCGCUCAGUGCACGCGGUGGACACCCUGGUCAGAUGCACUGGUGGGCGUGGUGGACUAUCCAGGGUCAGAUGCGCCAGGACACACAGUGGACAUCCCCGGGUCAGACGCGCCAGUGCACGUGGUGGAUGACCCAGGGCCAGAUGCUGCGCUGACGUGUGAGUCAUUCUGAGGUCGUUGGGCAGCUGGUUGACCCCACUCUGCUCCUCCUGCGGCCAGGCUCCGCUCCCCCUAGUGCUCCCAGGGCUGCCUAAGUGCUCCACGCCCUCUGGGGGGGUGGAGGAGGGGCCAUCAACCCUCCCCCUGCGGGUGGCCCUGCGAGGCUAGCGAGGCGGGGGUGGGGGGGGCCGGUGACGGCGACAGGAAGCAGUGCCCACAGUGAGGGCUCCCUGUUGGCCCGGUGGAGUCAGAGCCGUCUCCCGUCCCCCCCCUACCCCCCCCCCCACCCCUGCCUGCUUAGGGGAGGUCCAUCCUGCCUCCGGCCAAGACAGAAGCAGAAGACAGCAGCUCGAGCUCUGCUCCCUCCCCUGAGGUGGGACACCAUCAGAGGCCACUGCGCACCCCGCAUCUCAGAAAUGUCAGGUUUGCUCAAAAUGCGACAGAGCGAGGCCACCUGUCCCCUGCGCCUGAAGCUGCAGUCAUACCGCGCACGGCCGAGGGUUUGUGCCCUGCUGUGGAGGAGCGGCCGCGGUGUUGGGACAAGACUGGGACCCGCUGAGGAUCGGGGAGGGGACAGACACCAUCUCAUUUGCUGUGGUCCACUGGUGUGUCGAGGAACCGGCCUGAGAAGUUCUGGGGACAUUCGAGGUUUCCCACAGCAGAGUCACAAGGAGGGUACACACUGGCGGGGGCAGUGACCCCGAGAUUUCAUCCACAGAACCUGAUUCCUACAGAACGAAAGCAAGCAAACGGGCGAAAUUCUCAGUAGCCUAGAAUCUUCAGGGAAAGUGCUGCCCCAAAUUACAGAGUGUCUUCAUCCAGA